GUUUAAGAUUUAACUAUAUGUUAUACUCUGGCAGUCAAUCAAUGGUUUUUAUACGUUUCCUGGGAGGGUGAUAUGAUUGCUCAAACAACCGUUUCCCAGGAACGAAUACGUUUACACAGGGUAUGUGUGUUAGAUUUGUUAAUGAUCCCUCCGCAGGUUCACCUACGGAGA
rnacentral:misc_RNA from 1 species